GUCGAGCGAGCUGAAUUCAAAGAUCCCUUCGGGGUGAUUUGUUGGACGCUAGCGGCGGAUGGGUGAGUAACACGUGGGCAAUCUGCCCUAAAGACUGGGAUACCACUUGGAAACAGGUGCUAAUACCGGAUAACAACAUGAAUCGCAUGAUUCAAGUUUGAAAGGCGGCGCAAGCUGUCACUUUAGGAUGAGCCCGCGGCGCAUUAGCUAGUUGGUGGGGUAAAGGCCUACCAAGGCAAUGAUGCGUAGCCGAGUUGAGAGACUGAUCGGCCACAUUGGGACUGAGACACGGCCCAAACUCCUACGGGAGGCAGCAGUAGGGAAUCUUCCACAAUGGACGCAAGUCUGAUGGAGCAACGCCGCGUGAGUGAAGAAGGUCUUCGGAUCGUAAAGCUCUGUUGUUGGUGAAGAAGGAUAGAGGCAGUAACUGGUCUUUAUUUGACGGUAAUCAACCAGAAAGUCACGGCUAACUACGUGCCAGCAGCCGCGGUAAUACGUAGGUGGCAAGCGUUGUCCGGAUUUAUUGGGCGUAAAGCGAGCGCAGGCGGAAUGAUAAGUCUGAUGUGAAAGCCCACGGCUCAACCGUGGAACUGCAUCGGAAACUGUCAUUCUUGAGUGCAGAAGAGGAGAGUGGAACUCCAUGUGUAGCGGUGGAAUGCGUAGAUAUAUGG
rnacentral:rRNA from 1 species